GAUCAGGCCCAGCCCUCUGGCCCCACACCCUACCGCCCCAGCUGGAGGGUGAGGAGAGACUGGGCUUGGGUGUGGGAAUCAGGGGUGUAAAGGGGCCUGCU
rnacentral:miRNA from 1 species